UUGGGAAUCUUGCGCAAUGGGGGCAACCCUGACGCAGCGACGCCGCGUGUGGGAUGACGGUCUUCGGAUUGUAAACCACUUUUCCCAGGGACGAUAAUGACGGUACCUGGGGAAUAAGCCCCGGCUAACUCCGUGCCAGCAGCCGCGGUAAGACGGAGGGGGCCAGCGUUGUCCGGAAUUACUGGGCGUAAAGCGCUCGUAGGCGGUCGCGUACGGCGGUGGUGAAAGCUCCCGGCUCAACUGGGAGAGGCCCGCCGCAACGGCGUGACUCGAGGGUGGUAGAGGCAGAUGGAAUUCCUGGUGUAGCGGUGAAAUGCGUAGAGAUCAGGAGGAACACCCGUGGCGAAGGCGAUCUGCUGGGCCAUGCCUGACGCUGAGGAGCGAAAGCUAGGGGAGCGAACGGG
rnacentral:rRNA from 1 species